GAACAUGCCAAAGGGGCAGAGAAUAGUUGUGAAAUGCAAUGAAGAUAGCCAGCCUAUAGGAGAUGAAGGAUUUUGCCCACUAAACAUAAAUGAUUGGCGUCAUGUCAAAAAGAAUAGUGACAAAGUUCGUGUAUCCUCGAUCAUGUGAAAAAUGGAUACUCAAAUCAAUUGGAAGAGACUGGAGGAAAUUUAAGUCUAGUUUGAAAGAUGCUUUCUUCAAACCCGCCAUUGAAAAAAAUCCAAACAUCAAGCGAAAGGCUUUGUAUAAGCUCUGUCCAGAAGAUGUGGACAACGAUCAAUGGCGUGGGCUUGUUAAAUAUUGGAAGUCCAAAAAAGGAAGGGUAAUGAAUGAGAUACUGUACUUUCAUGUUUUGACAUUUAAAUGUGAGUUCUCGGGCUUAUCU